rnacentral:rRNA from 1 species
AGAGUUUGAUCAUGGCUCAGAUUGAACGCUGGCGGCAUGCCUUACACAUGCAAGUCGAACGCGAAAGGGGGGCAACCCCCGAGUAGAGUGGCGAACGGGUGAGUAAUACAUCGGAACGUACCCAGUAGCGGGGGAUAACCUCUCGAAAGAGAGGCUAAUACCGCAUACGACCUACGGGUGAAAGAGGGGGAUCGCAAGACCUCUCACUAUUGGAGCGGCCGAUGUCGGAUUAGCUAGUUGGUGGGGUAAAAGCCUACCAAGGCCACGAUCCGUAGCUGGUCUGAGAGGACGGCCAGCCACACUGGAACUGAGACACGGUCCAGACUCCUACGGGAGGCAGCAGUGGGGAAUUUUGGACAAUGGGCGAAAGCCUGAUCCAGCCAUGCCGCGUGAGUGAAGAAGGCCUUCGGGUUGUAAAGCUCUUUCGGCUGGGACGAAAAGGUCCGUGCUAACACCACGGAUCCAUGACGGUACCAGCAGAAGAAGCACCGGCUAACUACGUGCCAGCAGCCGCGGUAAUACGUAGGGUGCAGGCGUUAAUCGGAAUUACUGGGCGUAAAGCGUGCGCAGGCGGUUUGCUAAGACAGGUGUGAAAUCCCCGGGCUUAACCUGGGAACUGCGCUUGUAACUGGCAAGCUUGAGUGUGGCAGAGGGGGGUGGAAUUCCACGUGUAGCAGUGAAAUGCGUAGAGAUGUGGAGGAACACCGAUGGCGAA